GAGCAUGCGACGUGCUAUACAUGCAGUCGAGCGAACAGAUAAGGAGCUUGCUCCUUUGAAGUUAGCGGCGGACGGGUGAGUAACACGUGGGUAACCUACCUAUAAGACUGGGAUAACUUCGGGAAACCGGAGCUAAUACCGGAUAACAUUUAGAACCGCAUGGUUCUAAAGUGAAAGAUGGUUUUGCUAUCACUUAUAGAUGGACCCGCGCCGUAUUAGCUAGUUGGUAAGGUAACGGCUUACCAAGGCGACGAUACGUAGCCGACCUGAGAGGGUGAUCGGCCACACUGGAACUGAGACACGGUCCAGACUCCUACGGGAGGCAGCAGUAGGGAAUCUUCCGCAAUGGGCGAAAGCCUGACGGAGCAACGCCGCGUGAGUGAUGAAGGGUUUCGGCUCGUAAAACUCUGUUAUUAGGGAAGAACAAAUGUGUAAGUAACUGUGCACAUCUUGACGGUACCUAAUCAGAAAGCCACGGCUAACUACGUGCCAGCAGCCGCGGUAAUACGUAGGUGGCAAGCGUUAUCCGGAAUUAUUGGGCGUAAAGCGCGCGUAGGCGGUUUCUUAAGUCUGAUGUGAAAGCCCACGGCUCAACCGUGGAGGGUCAUUGGAAACUGGGAAACUUGAGUGCAGAAGAGGAAAGUGGAAUUCCAUGUGUAGCGGUGAAAUGCGCAGAGAUAUGGAGGAACACCAGUGGCGAAGGCGACUUUCUGGUCUGUAACUGACGCUGAUGUGCGAAAGCGUGGGGAUCAAACAGGAUUAGAUACCCUGGUAGUCCACGCCGUAAACGAUGAGUGCUA
rnacentral:rRNA from 1 species